rnacentral:rRNA from 1 species
GGGAUGACGUCAAAUCAUCAUGCCCCUUAUGACCUGGGCUACACACGUGCUACAAUGGCGGUGACAGUGAGUUAAUCUCCAAAAACCGUCUCAGUUCGAAUUGUCGUCUGCAACUCGACGGCAUGAAGUCGGAAUCGCUAGUAAUCGUGGAUCAGCAUGCCACGGUGAAUACGUUCCCGGGCCUUGUACACACCGCCCGUCACACCAUGGGAGUGGGGUGCACCAGAAGUCGGUCGCCUAACCGCAAGGAGGGCGCCGCCCACGGUGUGCUCCAUGACUGGGGUGAAGUCGGAACAAG